AACGUAGGAGGCGAGCGUUAUCCGGAUUUACUGGGCGUAAAGCGCACGCAGGCGGGUCAGUAAGUUGGAUGUGAAAGCUCCUGGCUUAACUGGGAGAGGCCAUUCAAGACUGCUGGGCUUGAGGUUGGGAGAGGGGUGUGGAAUUCCCGGUGUAGUGGUGGAAUGCGUAGAUAUCGGGAGGAACACCUGUGGCGAAAGCGGCACCCUGGCCCACACCUGACGCUGAGGUGCGAAAGCGUGGGGAG
rnacentral:rRNA from 1 species